rnacentral:rRNA from 1 species
UACGUAGGGUGCGAGCGUGUCCGGAAUCAUUGGGCGUAAAGAGCGUGUAGGCGGUCCGGUAAGUCCGCUGUGAAAGUCGGGGGCUCAACCUCGAAUGCCGGUGGAUACUGUCGGGCUAGAGUGCGGAAGAGGCGAGUGGAAUUCCUGGUGUAGCGGUGAAAUGCGCAGAUAUCAGGAGGAACACCUAUUGCGAAGGCAGCUCGCUGGGCAGUAACUGACGCUGAGGAGCGAAAGCGUGGGGAGCGAACAGG